CCUACGGGUGGCAGCAGUGAGGAAUAUUGGACAAUGGGCGAGAGCCUGAUCCAGCCAUGCCGCGUGCAGGAAGACGGCCCUAUGGGUUGUAAACUGCUUUUAUACAGGAAGAAACAUCCCCUCGUGAGGGGACUUGACGGUACUGUAAGAAUAAGGACCGGCUAACUCCGUGCCAGCAGCCGCGGUAAUACGGAGGGUCCGAGCGUUAUCCGGAAUCAUUGGGUUUAAAGGGUCCGUAGGCGGGCAGCUCAGUCAGUGGUGAAAGUCUGCAGCUCAACUGUAGAAUUGCCAUUGAUACUGGUUGUCUUGAAUUAUUAUGAAGUGGUUAGAAUAUGUAGUGUAGCGGUGAAAUGCAUAGAUAUUACAUAGAAUACCGAUUGCGAAGGCAGAUCACUAAUAAUAUAUUGACGCUGAGGGACGAAAGCGUGGGGAGCGAACAG
rnacentral:rRNA from 1 species